rnacentral:tRNA from 1 species
GAUUCCGUAGCUCAGCUGGUAGAGCAUCCCGAUUUCAUCGGGAGGGUCCUGGGAAGCCCAGGACAGAUCU